CUAUACAUGCAAGUCGAGCGGACAGAAGGGAGCUUGCUCCCGGAUGUUAGCGGCGGACGGGUGAGUAACACGUGGGUAACCUGCCUGUAAGACUGGGAUAACUCCGGGAAACCGGAGCUAAUACCGGAUAGUUCCUUGAACCGCAUGGUUCAAGGAUGAAAGACGGUUUCGGCUGUCACUUACAGAUGGACCCGCGGCGCAUUAGCUAGUUGGUGAGGUAACGGCUCACCAAGGCGACGAUGCGUAGCCGACCUGAGAGGGUGAUCGGCCACACUGGGACUGAGACACGGCCCAGACUCCUACGGGAGGCAGCAGUAGGGAAUCUUCCGCAAUGGACGAAAGUCUGACGGAGCAACGCCGCGUGAGUGAUGAAGGUUUUCGGAUCGUAAAGCUCUGUUGUUAGGGAAGAACAAGUGCAAGAGUAACUGCUUGCACCUUGACGGUACCUAACCAGAAAGCCACGGCUAACUACGUGCCAGCAGCCGCGGUAAUACGUAGGUGGCAAGCGUUGUCCGGAAUUAUUGGGCGUAAAGGGCUCGCAGGCGGUUUCUUAAGUCUGAUGUGAAAGCCCCCGGCUCAACCGGGGAGGGUCAUUGGAAACUGGGAAACUUGAGUGCAGAAGAGGAGAGUGGAAUUCCACGUGUAGCGGUGAAAUGCGUAGAGAUGUGGAGGAACACCAGUGGCGAAGGCGACUCUCUGGUCUGUAACUGACGCUGAGGAGCGAAAGCGUGGGGAGCGAACAGGAUUAGAUACCCUGGUAGUCCACGCCGUAAACGAUGAGUGCUAAGUGUUAGGGGGUUUCCGCCCCUUAGUGCUGCAGCUAACGCAUUAAGCACUCCGCCUGGGGAGUACGGUCGCAAGACUGAAACUCAAAGGAAUUGACGGGGGCCCGCACAAGCGGUGGAGCAUG
rnacentral:rRNA from 1 species